AGUGUAAGUGUGCUUCCAGCUAACAAGUGGCUGUGCUGGCAGGGCGGUCGGGGGUGCACCAGACAGCCUCAUACUGACUUUUCCCUUUUUCUGUUUUGUCCCCUAGCUGAAUCCAGUGGGUUUGAUGGGAAUACGGACCUGUUGCUGGAGCCACCUCAUGGAAGAGGCACGGUGCAGGUGGUAUCGCUACGGAUGAUGAAGCCAUUGGCUGAGUGACGCUCCUUCAUCCCAGACAUCCCCACAACUGACAACACCACUUUAUACAUCCUGUGGGUGAUAUUAAACACAUUUGAUAACUGGUUUCUUCUGCCCUUGAGAAACCUGGCCUCUAGUUGGGCAGAGGAGACUUUCACAUGUGGAAAGCUCCAGAGCUAUUUAAAGCACCUCCACCGUGGGCCAACCAAUGCAGCAAGGACCUGGAAAUUAUUUGGCUAUCAAAGAGUUAAUCUGCUAAGGUAAUGGCAUGAACAAUGCACCCCAUAAUGUAUACAAAGAGGGUGCUGCCACUAGGAGACAAAAUCACAAGGGGGAUGCUAGGCUGAACU
rnacentral:lncRNA from 1 species